rnacentral:rRNA from 1 species
UGGUGGAGUGAUUUGUCUGCUUAAUUGCGAUAACGAACGAGACCUUAACCUGCUAAAUAGCCCGUAUUGCUUAGGCAGUACGCCGGCUUCUUAGAGGGACUAUCGGCUCAAGCCGAUGGAAGUUUGAGGCAAUAACA